rnacentral:lncRNA from 10 species
AAACUUACAAUCAUAGCAGAAGGUGAAGAGGAAGGAGGCAUGGCUUACACGGCCAGAGAAGAAGGAAGAGAGAAGGGGGAGCAAAAGUCCUCAAUCCAGAAAGUCAAGAGACCUGAAUCCUCUCCCAGGAUGGCCAGCAACCCUCUGUGUGACCCUGGCCAAGUCAUUUUCACUCCCUGUGAAGUUUCCUCUUCUGGGAGGAUAGACCAGACGAGCUGUUCUCAAACUCUACUGCACAUUAAAAUCAUCCAGGAGAUCUAAAAAACUCCAGCACCCAGCUGGCACCCCCAGGCCAAUGAAUCUUCGGUAGGACCCAGGCUUCAAUAUAUUUUCAAAGCUCUCUGUGGUUUCAACGAACAGCCAUGGUGGCAGGAAACUACCCCCUCUCCUCCCAGGUCCUUCUCAAACUUCACUGUAGGCACAGAUCAUCCUGGUCUGUGCUAAGAUGUAGACCCUGGCUCAGGCAGAGAUUGGACAUUUCUAGCAAGCUGCCAGGUUCUCUUGCUGCUGGUCCAGGAAAAGGGACUAGACCAUUGGUUGAAAAGCUUUUGUUAGCUUUGCAAUACUUUCUACAAAGGAAAUAUUGCAUGGAAACAGAUACUUAACAAAACUGCUCUGAUUAAAGUCAGGGUUCAGAAAGGAUGGGACAACCGGAGUCUCAGACUCAGAUUCACCCCGAAAUCCGUGAAUUGGGCAGAAUUACAACUCCAUCAGAGACAUCGUGUCCUGAUCCCACAACCUUGUGAACAUGUUCCGUUACCUGGCAAAGGGGAAUUAUGUCUUCAGAGGAAAUUAAGGCUGUUAAUCAGCUAACCUUAAAAUAAGAUUAUCUGGGUGGGCUUAAUCUAAUCAGAAGAGGUUGUUAAAAGUGGAAGAGAGUGGCUUAGUAUUCCCUAUCCACUUUCCCUACAUUUUCUCCUCCAUAGAACUCAUCUUCUAAUAUAUUUUAUAAUAUGUACACUUAAGUUUUGUUUUUUAGUUUUUUAGAGGCAGUGUCUCACUGUGUUGCCCAGGCUGGAGUGCAGUGGCUAUUCACAGGCGUGAUCCCAC